UGGGUGGCUCUGGGUGUCCCAGGUGACACUCAGGUGACACAGGUGACACUCAGGUGACACAGGGGUGGCUGUGACACUGUCCCGUGUCCCCAGGGUGGCAUGCUGGCCGUCAGGGAGAACCGGUACAUCGUGCUGGCCAAGGACUUUGAGAAGGCGUACAAAACCGUCAUCAAGAAGGACGAGCAGGAGCACGAGUUCUACAAGUGACACCGCGGGGACACCCUGGGGACACCUUGGGGACACCUUGGGGACACCCCUGGGAUAUUGCGGGGACACCUUGGGGACGUUCAAAUAAAGCUGAGACCGGA